UACGGGGGGGGCAAGCGUUGUUCGGAAUUACUGGGCGUAAAGGGCUCGUGGGCGGCCAACUAAGUCAGACGUGAAAUCCCUCGGCUUAACCGGGGAACUGCGUCUGAUACUGGAUGGCUUGAAUCCGGGAGAGGGAUGCGGAAUUCCAGGUGUAGCGGUGAAAUGCGUAGAUAUCUGGAGGAACACCGGUGGCGAAGGCGGCAUCCUGGACCGGCAUUGACGCUGAGGAGCGAAAGCCAGGGGAGCAAACGGG
rnacentral:rRNA from 1 species